rnacentral:tRNA from 1 species
CAGAGCGUAGCUAAAUAGCAUAGCAUCUCCCUUACACUGAGAAGACACCCGUGCAAACCGGGUCGCACUGA